UGGGGAAUAUUGCACAAUGGGCGCAAGCCUGAUGCAGCCAUGCCGCGUGUGUGAAGAAGGCCUUCGGGUUGUAAAGCACUUUCAGCGAGGAGGAAGGUGGUGAGCUUAAUACGCUCAUCAAUUGACGUUACUCGCAGAAGAAGCACCGGCUAACUCCGUGCCAGCAGCCGCGGUAAUACGGAGGGUGCAAGCGUUAAUCGGAAUUACUGGGCGUAAAGCGCACGCAGGCGGUUUGUUAAGUCAGAUGUGAAAUCCCCGGGCUCAACCUGGGAACUGCAUUUGAAACUGGCAAGCUAGAGUCUCGUAGAGGGGGGUAGAAUUCCAGGUGUAGCGGUGAAAUGCGUAGAGAUCUGGAGGAAUACCGGUGGCGAAGGCGGCCCCCUGGACGAAGACUGACGCUCAGGUGCGAAAGCGUGGGGCAGCAAACAGGAUUAGAUACCCCUGGUAGUCCAGCGCUGUAAAACGAUGUCGAUUUUGGAGGUUGUGCCCUUGAGGCGUGGCUUCCGGAGCUAACGCGUUAAA
rnacentral:rRNA from 1 species